CCGGGUUUAGCGAAGUUUGGUAUCGCGCUUGGUUUGGGACCAAGAGACCGUGGGUUCGAAUCCCGCAACCCGGACCA
rnacentral:tRNA from 1 species